rnacentral:rRNA from 1 species
CCCUUAGAUGUCCGGGACCGCACGCGCGCUACACUGAAGGAAUCAGCGUGGCUUUCUCCCUGACCCGAAAGGGUUGGGAAACCCGUUGAAUCUCCUUCGUGGUAGGGAUUGGGGCUUGAAAUUGUUCCCCAUGAACGAGGAAUUCCCAGUAAGCGCGAGUCAUAAGCUCGCGUUGAUUACGUCCCUGCCCUUUGUACACACCGCCCGUCGCUACUACCGAUUGAACGGUUUAGUGAGGGCCUCGGAUUGGUCUCGGCCCGCUCUUUACCGGGCGGCGCCGUUGGUCGAGAAGACGCUCGAACUUGAUCGUUUAGAGGAAGUAAAAGUCGUAACA